rnacentral:lncRNA from 1 species
CUCAUAUCAAAAUAUUUAUAAAGCCAAACAAGUACGAAGUUGAAGAGCAUUGAGGAUCCAAAAUUUAAAAAAGUUGUGCCAAAUACGGCCAAGGUAAUCUAUGCCUGGGAUAAGAAAAUCCUUAGUUUUUCGAAAAAAUCAAAGUUUUGUAAAACAGAAAAUUUAUAAAAAUGACCACAUUAUUGAUAUUCAUGUCAACACCGAAAUGUUGACUACUGGGCUGGUGAAACCCUACGAGACGAAACGUCCACCAGCAGUGGCAUCGACCCAGUGGUGUAAAUAGUUAUCAAAGGUACCAGGAUUAUAAAUUUGUACGCCAGAC